rnacentral:lncRNA from 1 species
ACGGAAGAUCUCUCACACACUUGGCCACAUGUUGACUGCAUUAUUUCAGGGCCACCUGGGCCAUUCCCUGCCUCCAGGAAGGAUCUGCCGGAGCCUGGAAGGAGAAAGGAUCUUCCCAGCGCUUCAGGACCCAGGUAGCACCUCCCUGCUGGGGACUGUCCAUGUGGCCUUCUUGCUGGCAAUUCCACAGGUAAGGGAUGGGGUCCCCACUCUAGGGCAGUGUUUUCCUAAUGUCUUAAGAUACAAAGUUUACAUCUUGACAGUGUAUUCACAAACACAGAUACACCUAUUAAAACAAGUUUUACAUCAGACAUUACCUUCAGAUUAGGAGUAUGCUUGUCUUGAUGAGCACUGAAUAAUGUAUGGAACUGUUGGAUCACUAUAUUGUACACCUUAAACUAAUAAAGCACUGUAUGUCGACUACACUGGCAUUAAAAUUAAAAAAAUGAAUAAUUAAAUUUAAAUGAAAAAACACAUUACCCUCAGCAUGAGUGAUGCCCUUUAAUAGUUUGAAUUGUGUAAUUUCAUUUUUUUUAAGGCUGGUCUACGCCCACUGAACGGAUAUUUUUACCUACUAAUGGAUUAAAACCCACAGUUAGAAAAGCACCAUUAUAGGGCAUGGCAGAGGAAGAAAGAAAAGAAUAAGCAGAAGGAGAACGGUAGGGGCAUGGGAAAGGUAGAACAGAGAAAGAAGGCAAGGACAGAGUGCAAAAAGGUGUUUUGUGGGAGGUCACACAGAUGUGCCUGCCAUCAUGUCCCUUCCAGGGCAUCUGUUCUAAGAUACACUACCACCCCACCCUGUGCGUGCCCUUAGGCAUCCUUUUCCAUGAGACCCCGGCCUACCUGGUGGCAAGGACAAAAUCUUUUUCGCUUUGGAAGCCCCACACCUCCCAGCAGAGGGAGGCACAGUCUUAGAAAACAGGCCAUAGUCAAAGCUUUCCAUUUUCCGGGGGAGGAAAAUGCCUUGGAGGGUCAGCCAGUCAGUGAUUAUAUAGCACAGUCAAGAUUUGCCCAGUGGGUCACAAGUAUCAGUUUGUCAUCUAAACUGAAGAUAAUACCCAUUUUGGAGAGUUAGAGGAUUAGCACUAUGUGCAUCAGGAACAUAUACGUGUCUGGUACAUCAUGGAAGCUCAAAUAGCACCUGCUAUUAUUAUUUUUUAUAUGUUCAUUUUGAGAGAGAGAGAGAGAGAAAAAGAGCGAGUGGGGGAGGGGCAGAGAGAGAGGAAGACAGAGAAUCCCAAGCAGGCUCUGCAGCUGUCAGUGCAGAGCCUGACUCAGGGCGCAAACUCACAACCAUGAGUAGGGCGCUUAACUGACUGAGCCACCCAGGCGCCCCAGCACCUGCUGUUAUUAUCGUUAGUGGUGACAAGAGUAAAGAAACGCCACCUCAGGUAUGCUCUGUCACUAUCGUUUUGGGGCAGGUUGGCUGCCAAUGUCUUCAUCCUAGAUAAAAAUGGAAAUCCUCAUAGACACAUAAGGAAAUGACCUUAGAAAUAAAACCAGAGGAAAUAUGUGCAUGCAUAAAUUAGCAAAAGACUAAUUUAAGCAUGUAGACUUUAACAGAUGUUCAGCUUGGCUAUAUCAGCAUUUUAAGUUGCUGUACAUUCUUGAAAAAUUAAUGGAAUGACUUAUUUCCCCACUGAUUUCAGUCAGUAUUGGGGGGAAGACAACCCUCACAGGCUCUAGCUACUCCUAGUCUGUGUGACAAAAUAAAUGCAAAGAGUACUGUAUAGAAAUGGAUAAUAUAAAUGGGAAAGAUGGACCAGAAAAAAAUCAUGGUGGUAGGAACUCAAGAUCAUUCUCCCAGUCUUCACAACUUAGUUUGUAAAUAAAAAUGCUUUAGCGAACUUAGUUUUAGUGUUUAAUGUUUAAAAUACUGAGUUGUUUUACUUUAAAAAAAGUUAAGUUCAUCUAUUAAUAAGCAAAUUCAGUACAGAGUUUAUACUAAUUAGAAAACACUUUUUUGGUUAAGUACAGACAUUGACAAAAUCCUCGGUUCAAUUAUUUUGCUCUAAAUUUCUCCUUUCCCUUCUUGUCCACUAGAUGGCGGAUCGGAACCACUCUGGAUCCUGCCAAUGCCCUGGCAGCUCUUUUCUGCACCGAUUUUAAGUGGCCAAACUCUAUUUUUGUUUUGUUCCUUCCAGAUUUUGCUCUCAUCCCAAUCGAAAGAAACACAAACUUUGUGAACAUUUUAGGACAGUCUGUGGCAUACAAACAGAGUUAUUUUAACUGGGGAGCUGGAGCUGCCUUAAAAAAGCUUCUUGUUCCUUGCCUGAAGGCCUGAGCCAAGGGGAUUUGUCCUGUUCCUUUGGAGGAACAUUGGAUAGUACCGUUGUGGUAACAUGAGUGAAAGUAUCCAAGCCAGGCACUGGGCUAGGAGUUCCAUCUCAUUCAUUCUUCACAGAGAGACUGUAAGGUGUCACCUCUGUGUUAUAAAAGACAACAUUAAGAACUUAAGCCACGUUGAGGGUAAGUAACUUUGUCCAGAGCUGAGUUUGAGUCUGGAACUCUGGGACGUCAAAUAUUUUCGCUUAACCACAGUGCUAUGCCACCUUCCUGGUGCUGUUACCUGGUGGGUGUUUAACCACGGGCUGAUUUCUGCCUCAUCUGCCCCACUAGCCACCUAGGUCUCAAAAGAGUCAUCUCAGGAUUAGUCUAGGUUGUCAGGCUGAAUCAGGACCUUUUGCAGAGUUUUUCUCUGUGAACUAGAGUUUAAACUUGCACACUUAGACUAGUAUAUCUCUGAAGUGUGUAUUUCCUUCCCAAACCAAUCUAAGACCAAGAGGAAUCAGAGUUACUAAUAAGCACCAAGAGAGAACUGGUAUCUUUCUUAUAAAAACUAAAAAGCUAAGAAAAACAAUAAUCAGUGCGAAGUCUCAAAAUGGUUAAUAUUUCUUUCAAAGAAAAAAUAAUAUUUACCCGAGCAUGCAAUUUUUGCAUGUUUCGUGACAAAGCUUGUUUCACGCUGAAAGAAAAAAAAAUCACUCAGAAUGAAGCCAAUUUUAAUUUACACGCACACAAAUUUAAGUAAGCAAGUAUUAAAGGAAUAAGGCCACCACACACAUAAAGCACUGUAUUUAUGUGUAUAUAAAUGUUUGUUGUGAUCUUUUUUUUCCUCUCAUAUAUCCAGAAAAUGUUUCUGUAGUUCUGACUCAUUUGGCCCUGGCGUCCUCUCCCACUUAUCCACCUACCAUGCUAUGUUCCCUGUGUGCCUUGAUUCUGGGUCCACCCAGCUAGCUCUGUUCCUACGGAAGUAAGGAAUGGCAGUGAGCCCACCAUUCUCCAUUCUUCCCCGUGUGCACCAAAAGAGAAUGGAAAUGAGCCCAAACUAUAGAAGCUGGUGGGGAAACACACGUCUUGUUCAGGUGUUGUCCCAGCUACGAGAGCAACACCAGGUCUCGGCCUCCAGUGGCUCCCCACUGCCUGCACCUGCAGAAAAGCCCAACUCCUCAGCCUAAUUUUUUUUUCAAUGUAUGAAGUUUAUUGUCACAUUGGUUUCCAUACAACACCCAGUGCUC